rnacentral:rRNA from 1 species
AUUGAACGCUGGCGGCAUGCCUUACACAUGCAAGUCGAACGGUAACGGGCCUUCGGGUGCCGACGAGUGGCGAACGGGUGAGUAAUACAUCGGAACGUGCCCGAUCGUGGGGGAUAACGAGGCGAAAGCUUUGCUAAUACCGCAUACGAUCUACGGAUGAAAGCAGGGGACCGCAAGGCCUUGCGCGGACGUUGCGGCCGAUGGCAGAUUAGGUAGUUGGUGGGAUAAAAGCUUACCAAGCCGACGAUCUGUAGCUGGUCUGAGAGGAUGAUCAGCCACACUGGAACUGAGACACGGCCCAGACUCCUACGGGAGGCAGCAGUGGGGAAUUUUGGACAAUGGGCGCAAGCCUGAUCCAGCCAUGCCGCGUGCAGGAUGAAGGCCUUCGGGUUGUAAACUGCUUUUGUACGGAACGAAAAGCCUUCUUUUAAUACAGGAGGGUCAUGACGGUACCGUAAGAAUAAGCACCGGCUAACUACGUG